AUGUGCCGUGAUCUGUACCAAGAGGAAGCUAAUGCAAAUGCCAGUUGCUUUGAGGAACCAGUAGGGAACAGAACUGGCAAAGGUCCACCGACCACACUCUCAGGAUGGAAGAUGCUGGGCACGAAGGAAAGUUUCUGCCUGGAUACGUUUCUGCUGCAAAGUCUUCAUUGCACUUGUUCACAGGUGAUCUCUGCACGCCUUGGCAUGGAGACACAUGUUACCCUCGCACCCAGGGUCUGCGGCGAUCUGGCCCCACUGACCGUCUUGGCUGUGCCCUGCUCUGCAGCCACACGGGAUGACCUCUUGUGCCCAGAGCACCCGUGUGCCCGUGCUUGGGCAGGCUCCCUCAGAACUCCUCCACGAUGCCACGAUUCCCCUCCCCGGGCUGCAGCCUGGCCUCCACAGGACAGCCAGAAAACACCGCCUGCUUUUCCUCAAACUAGUCCUGCUUUAGAUGAUGCUGGAAUACUCCCUGGGAGCGCUGUUAUCCUAAGGCUGGAUAGCGAGUUUUUAGAACUUGAGCUAUAUUUUAUAUAGAGGACUCAGAGUACCCAACCCGGUAUCUUUUAUAAAAAAAAAAAAAAAAAAAAUAAGGGUUCCUUACAAAUUAGUCCAGAAAUGAAUGCCACUGAACUGACACCCAAAAUAUCUUCUCUUAUGGAUCCCUCUCUGAGUGUUUUUUUUAGAAUCUCUCCUCCGUACGUCUGUCCUUUCUGUCUUCCACUGAGGACAAGGAGGCUUAUCAGCAAGAGAUAUUGGGCAUCUAAAACCACAGGACGCAGCAAUCUAGGCCAUCAAAAGCAAACUAAAUAGAUGCAUGACUCAUUUACAGAAUUUUCAGAAUGGAGCCUAGAGAAUGAAAAUGUAAUUUAUGGCUCAUUUAUACUAUUCUGAAUGUCACUGGAAGACAACAUUUCAUGGAUAAGGAAGCCAGCCAUGAUUAGCAUUCAGUUCAUCCACAGCCCAUGACAACUGUUUGUUUCCACUGUGAUCUAGAAGACUUUGCUUUAGGAUGAAAACUUAAUUGGAUCUAUUGAGGGAGAGAGCUGCCAUUGGUAAGCGAGUAAAAUUUUAUCAUCUCCAUCAAAGUUACAUACUUGAAGAAUUAUGAAGCCAAGUUGGUAUUUACCCUGCAAAUAAAUAUAAUUCUGGAUGAAAAGAAAAACUGACA
rnacentral:lncRNA from 12 species